rnacentral:rRNA from 1 species
AAUCUUGGACAAUGGGGGAAACCCUGAUCUAGCCAUCCCGCGUGUAUGAUGAAGGCCAUCGGGAUGUAAAGUACUUUUGGCAGAGAAGAAAAGGUACCUCCUAAUACGAGGUACUGCUGACGGUAUCGGAAGAAUAAGCACCGGCUAACUACGUGACAGAAGCCGGGGUAAUACGGUGGGUGCAAGCGUUAAUCGGAAUUACUGGGCUAAAAGCGUGUUUAGGCGGUUCGGAAAGAAACAUGUGACAUCCCAGGGCUCAACCUUGGAACUGCAUUUUUAACUGCCGAGCUAGAGUAUGUCAGAGGGAGGUAGAAUUCCACGUGUAGCAGUGAAAUGCGUAGAUAUGUGGAGGAAUACCGAUGGCGAAGGCAGCCCCCUGGGAUAAUACUGACGCUCAGACACGAAAGCGUGGGGAGCAAACAG